UCCAGAUCUGCUCUGCCACCCCAGCUGUUAUCACAGAUCCGUGCGCUUUAUACGCAUGUGCCUCCCGCGUCCUGUCCGUCUUACAUAACACAUCCAGUGCAGCAGAGGACACGAGAAAAUGCGACCCCAGCCCUCCCAGCCGAAAUCGGGCGAAGGGGUAGAAGCUAAGGAGUCCACCGACAGGAGAUGGCAAAGGAGAAAGCAUAAUCUCAACAAGACUGAAAUGCUUUUUCACUUUUGAUUGUUUAAAAAUAAACCUAGGGGAGAAAAAGAGUCAUCUUGGGGGAAAUUACGUUAAAAAUUAAGCAAAGAAACUUGCCCUAGGAAAGUGCUUCCUCUGACACCUGGAAAUCCAGGCCUUUCCCCUCACCCCGGGGAAGAAGCCGGAGUAGGAGCGGCGGCCG
ensembl:lncRNA